UCAAUUUUGUUUAUCAUUGAUUUAAUUUCUAAGAUCGAGAUGACCAAGUCUCUAUUCUUCCUUGUUCUUCUUUUCUCAGCUGCAUUGAUGGUUCCUCGAGCAGCCCAUUCAGCAGAUUGUGAGGAGAAGUUGUAUGACGGAUGCUGGCCACAAGACUGUCAGAUGAGGUGUCUAGACAAGCAUCCUGAAUCAACAUCUCACUGUGUGGCAGCCACUACACUUCCUUUUACUCGUUCUUGUUAUUGCUUCUUCCCUUGCCCUUGAAAUCGAGUGCUUUUAAUCAUAUCAUAUGAUGAAUGAAAUAAAAUAGUUGGGUGACGUUUUCGUCAUUCAACACACAGUUUAAGAUA